CUUACCAUCUUAAAAAAAUGUUUAAAUAAGUUUUUUUUUUUUAAGUUUACUUAAUUCUUUUAAUAGGAAUAUCUCUUUAUUUAUAUAGUAUUAUAAGGUAAUUUAUAAUAAAUAUAGUUUAGAUGGAGCGUGAUGGUGAUUUAUUGUAGUUCUUUAAAUUAAGAUUAUUUUUUCAACUUCUUGUGCCACUUCUUUCUUUGUACUGUCUAUGAUGAAUUCUAUGAAAAAGCUUACCAAACCAUUUGAAGGCCAAAAACCUGGUACUAGUGGACUUCGAAAAGCCGUGAAAGUAUUUCAACAACAAAACUACACAGAAAAUUUUAUCCAAGCUAUACUUAGUGCUAUACAGCCUUCAGUAGUUGGCAGUACAUUGGUAGUUGGUGGUGAUGGACGUUUUUAUAGUACUGAAGUUGUAGAUUUAAUUAUAAAAAUAGCGGCUGCUAAUGGGGUAAAAAAAUUAAUAAUUGGUCUAAAAGGAAUUCUUUCUACACCAGCUGUAUCUUGCAUUAUACGGAAGUAUAAAGCAACUGGUGGUAUUGUGCUAACAGCCAGUCAUAACCCGGGUGGUCCAAAUAAUGAUUUUGGAAUCAAAUAUAACACAUCUAAUGGAGGUCCAGCUCCCGAAUCUGUUACCAAUUCAAUUUAUGAGAUAUCUAAAAACAUUGAUAGUUAUAGUAUAGUUCCUGAUUUAAAAUGCUCUAUAGAUUACUGCGGUCAUCAAUAUUUUAAAGUUGAUGGUAAAGAAUUUGAGGUUGAAGUUAUUGAUUCAGUGUUAGAUUAUUUGCAGCUAAUGAAAAAUAUAUUUGAUUUUGAUAUUAUACGUAAACUUAUCAAAGGUUCAGAUAAUAAACCACCUUUUAAUAUACUUAUUGAUUCAAUGAAUGGAGUGACUGGGCCAUAUGUUAAAAAAAUUUUCAUUGAUGAAUUAGGAGCACCAUCAAACAAUGCUGUAAAUAUUGUUCCUUUACCUGAUUUUGGUGGCCUCCAUCCAGAUCCUAAUCUUACUUAUGCUGAUGGAUUAGUUACUGCUUUGAAAAAUGGAGAAUAUGAUCUUGGUGCUGCUUUUGAUGGUGAUGGUGAUAGAAACAUGAUUCUUGGAAAGAAAGCAUUUUUCAUAAAUCCUAGUGACUCUUUAGCUGUUUUAGCAAAUAAUUUAGAUUGUAUUCCUUAUUUUAAAAAAGGUGGUAUUACUGGUUUCGCAAGAAGUAUGCCAACGGGAUCUGCUGUUGAUAGAGUUGCAGCAAAGUUAGGAAAAGAACUCUUUGAAGUUCCAACAGGUUGGAAAUUUUUCGGCAAUUUAAUGGAUGCUGGUCGUUUAUCUCUUUGCGGUGAAGAAAGUUUUGGAACUGGCUCUGAUCACAUACGAGAAAAAGAUGGCAUAUGGGCUGUACUUGCCUGGCUAUCUGUAAUAGCCAAUGUUGGCGAACCUGUUGAUUCAAUUCUUACUAGUCAUUGGAAAUCUUUUGGACGUAAUUAUUUUACAAGAUAUGAUUAUGAAAAUUGUGAAUCAGAGCCGUGUAACCAAAUGAUGAUUGAUUUAGAGAAAAAAGUCACAAAUCCUACAAUUGUAGGCCAAAAAUUCACGUAUGGUCAAAAAGUUUAUGUUUUAAAGCAUGCUGAUAACUUUGAAUACUGUGAUCCAAUAGACAAAAGUUUCACUAAAAAACAGGGUAUAAGAGUUUUAUUUGAAGAUGGAUCUAGAUUUGUUUUUCGAUUAAGUGGUACUGGUAGUAGUGGUGCUACUAUACGUUUGUAUGCUGAAUCUUAUGAGCCCCCAAAUUCUAAUAUAUUAGAAGAUGCUCAAGUAGCUCUUAAGCCACUUGUUCAAAUAGCUUUGGAGAUAUCAAAAUUACCUCAAUAUACUAAACGAGAUGUGCCUACAGUAAUCACAUGAUUAUAAAAUUGUAUUUGUUGUUUAGUUAUACAAUAAUAUUUAAAGAUUCUGUGAUGUAGUUAAAAAACUAAUGCAAAGUUUACAAACUUAGGUGUGGACCUUGAAUGUUAUUGUUGAUGUUUUUGACCUGUAAAGAGUUUUUGUAACUCUUUAACCAGUUGAUACUGCCAAUAGUUUGUGGAGUCUACUUAAUUCAAAGGGAAAUUAAAUGUUGACUCAAUUAAAGUUAAAAUAAAAAUCUUUUUAUAUGUUUAAUUAAAUAAUUAAUGUAUUAUUAUAUAAAUUUUCUUCUAUAGAAAAGAUGGGAUUAGUUUUAUACAAUUAUACAUUAUAAAUGUACUUAAAAUUUUUUUUUUUUUUAUUAUAAUAUUGUAUUUAUAAAGAAUUAUUGACUUAUUAUUAAGCAAUUAAUAAGUAUUUGCAUUACUAUAUAUUACUACGAUAAUAUAACAUUUAAAAAUAUUAUAUUAGGAAUUUAUUUUAAAUGUAAUUUAGUAAAAAAAUGUAGUAAAAUUUAUGCGCUUGUGUAAUCAUGUAAAAUUUGUUUUAAGUUAUUAAUACCAAUCAUUUUUUAUUUAAUUAAUAUUUUGAAUUUGUAAACACAUAUAAUAAAUGUUAAAUUAGAAUUA